ACAGCUUUGUUGGUAGAGCAUGAAACUCUUAAUCUCAUUAGUUGUGGGUUCGAGCCCCAUGUUGGGUU